UACGAAGGGGGCUAGCGUUGUUCGGAAUUACUGGGCGUAAAGGGCACGUAGGCGGACUACUAAGUCAGGGGUGAAAUCCUGGAGCUCAACUCCAGAACUGCCUUUGAUACUGAGGAUCUUGAGUACGGGAGAGGUGAGUGGAACUGCGAGUGUAGAGGUGAAAUUCGUAGAUAUUCGCAAGAACACCAGUGGCGAAGGCGGCUCACUGGCCAGUAACUGACGCUGAGGCACGAAAGCGUGGGGAGCAAACAGG
rnacentral:rRNA from 1 species